rnacentral:rRNA from 1 species
UACAGAGGGUGCGAGCGUUAAUCGGAAUUACUGGGCGUAAAGCGUGCGUAGACGGCUAUCUAAGUCGGGUGUGAAAGCCCCGGGCUCAACCUGGGAAUUGCAUUCGAGACUGAAUAGCUAGGGUACGGUAGAGGGAAGCGGAAUUUCCGGUGUAGCGGUGAAAUGCGUAGAUAUCAGGUGGAACACCAGUGGCGAAGGCGGCUUUCUGGACGAUUACUGACGCUGAGACGCGAAAGCGUGGGGAGCAAACAGG